AGGAAAUCAAAGGAAAAGGAUGCAGCAGCAGAAUUAAUAAGUAAAAUCAGCAACAGGUAUAAAGACAGGACAUCCUUAAAUCAGUCUAGCUUCAGUGUUAGCCAGAAGAAAAAUAAGAACAGAAGUUUUAAAAAUUUGAAAACUACUACUCUACUUAACAUAACUACUGAACAGCUUGUGGAUGAUGUCUACAAUUUCAGCCUAAGUGGAUUUGAUGAACCUACAAUAAAGCUUGGAGUAAGA